rnacentral:rRNA from 1 species
UACAGAGGUCUCAAGCGUUGUUCGGAUUCAUUGGGCGUAAAGGGUGCGUAGGUGGCGCCGUAAGUCGGGUGUGAAAUUUCGGAGCUUAACUCCGAAACUGCAUUCGAUACUGCGGUGCUUGAGGACUGGAGAGGAGACUGGAAUUCAUGGUGUAGCAGUGAAAUGCGCAGAUAUCAGGAGGAACACCGGUGGCGAAGGCGGGUCUCUGGGCCGUAACUGACGCUGAGGAGCGAAAGCAUGGGGGAGCGAACAGG